rnacentral:rRNA from 1 species
GAUGAACGCUAGCGGCAGGCUUAAUACAUGCAAGUCGAGGGGCAGCACGGGUAGCAAUACCUGGUGGCGACCGGCAAACGGGUGCGGAACACGUACGCAACCUUCCCGAAACUGGUGAAUAGCCCUCCGAAAGGAGGAUUAAUACACCGUAAGAUAAUGGAGUGGCAUCACUCUAUUAUUAUAGCUACGGCGGUUUUGGAUGGGCGUGCGCCUGAUUAGGUAGUUGGCGGGGUAACGGCCCACCAAGCCUGCGAUCAGUAACUGGUGUGAGAGCACGACCAGUCACACGGGCACUGAGACACGGGCCUGACUCCUACGGGAGGCAGCAGGUAAGGAAUAUUGGUCAAUGGACGAAAGUCUGAACCAGCCAUGCCGCGUGAAGGAUGAAGGUCCUCUGGGAUUGUAAAACUUCUUUUAUCUGGGACGAAAAAAGGGAA